AUGCAUGUCCUGGGCGUGGUGUGUACCCUGGGUGUGAUGCGUGUCCUGGGCGUGGUGUGUGUACUGGGCGUGAUGUGUGCCCUGGGUGUGAUGUGUGUCCUGGGUGUGAUGUGUGUCCUGGGUGUGGUGUGUGUCCUGGGCGUGGUGUGUGUCCUGGGUGUGAUGUGUGUCCUGGGUGUGGUGUGUGUCCUGGGUGUGGUGUGUGUCCUGGGCGUGGUGUGUACCCUGGGUGUGGUGUGUGUCCUGGGCGUGGUGUGUAACCUGGGUGUGAUGUGUGCCCUGGGUGUGAUGUGUGUCCUGGGUGUGGUGUGUGUCCUGGGUGUGAUGUGUGCCCUGGGUGUGGUGUGUGUCCUGGGUGUGAUGUGUGCCCUGGACGUGGUGUGUACCCUGGGUGUGGUGUGUGACCUGGGUGUGGUGUGUGUCCUGGGUGUGAUGUGUGUCCUGGGCGUGGUGUGUGCCCUGGGCGUGGUGUGUAUCCUGGGUGUGAUGUGUGUCCUGGGUGUGAUGUGUGCCCUGGGCAUAGUGUGUGCCCUGGGUGUGGUGUGUGCCCUGGGUGUGGUGUGUACCCUGGGUGUGAUGUGUGUCCUGGACGUGGUGUGUACCCUGGGUGUGGUGUGUGUCCUGGGUGUGAUGUGUGUCCUGGGUGUGAUGUGUGUCCUGGGCUGGUGUGUGCCCUGGGCGUGGUGUGUGUCCUGGGCAUGGUGUGUGCCCUGUGCAUGGUAUGUGGGAUGUGUCCUGGGCUGUGUGUGUCCUGGGCGUGGCACGUGCCCUGGGCGUGGUGUGCGCUGGCCCUGUGUACACCCGAGCCCUGGGCGUGGUGUGCGCUGGCCCUGUGUACACCCGAGCCCUGGGCCUGGUCUUGGCUGCAGGCAGGGCCCAGUUGCCUGGUGCCUUCCCCACCGCACAGCGUCCCUGACUGCCCGUUGCUCGCUCUGCAGCAGGUCUGUCUCUGGCAGCACCCGGCAUUUUCCUGUGAGGUUGGUGGAGUUAGCAGUGCUUGGGAGUCUCAGAUGA
rnacentral:lncRNA from 1 species